GUGAAAGGAGGGACUAGGGAGAGGUAGAAGAGGUAAUAGGAAAGGAGGAGCCCUGCUAUUUUCUUAAGGGUGGGACCUCUCUUUUAGGACACUGGUGGCAGAAUUUCAAGAUGGUGAUGGUCUGCCAGAGAGAAGGAAACUGACAUUAUGCGUGCCUACUCUGUGCUAGGCACAAGGACUUUUUAGCCAUUAUCUCGUGGAAUUCUUUGUACAUCUCUGACAGUUAAGAGCAAGACUCUUCAUUUUAUCGCUGAGGAAACUGAGGUUCAGAGGGGAGAAGUUGUGUGCACGACCCACAGGAAAGAGAGGGUACCUUGAUUGAAAUUCAUCAUAAGGGAGCAUACGCUGGGGGAGAGUAAUGCCCAGAAGAUAAAUGGAAGUCUGUUACCAUACGACACAUACGUAUGCUGGGUACCUCAUCAAGUGGAAACAUACAAUAUUUGUCCUUUUAUGUUUGGCUUAUUUCAGCUGCUAAAUAAAUAGGUUGAUCUACAUCAAAAUGAAUGUUUCCUCAGGAACUCCUUGGUGAACAUCAGACAGGUAACAGUGGUGGCAGUAGCUCUGACAAUGGCCAGGGUCUGUGCUGCCUCCCUGGAAUCUAGGUAAGCUCCAUGAUGCCUUUGAUCCGUUGACUUGGAUGGAAAUGAUGUUGUUUCAGUUUGCAGGCUUGCCUUAAGAGAAUGGCAGCUUCCAAGACCUGUCUGUGGAGCCUGAGCUGCCACGUAAAAUGUUCAACUACCUUGAUGGAGAGACCAUGAGGAAAGGCUCUGAGAUGACAGGGGGAGAGGAGCGGCUGAACCCAGUCUUCCCUACCGUUCCCAUCAAGUGCCAGGCACAUGAGAAGGCUGUGCUGGACCCUGCAGACUAGCUUGGCUGCCAGUUAGAAUUCUACCGACUGACCCUGGUUGAUUGCAUAUGGAAGAGAAAAAUCACCCAGCUGAGUCCUGGCCAAAUCACUGACUGAAAAGUUGUGAGAUAUACUACAGUGGUUGUUUUAAGCCACCAAAUUUUGGGGUAGUUUGUUACAUAGCAACACAUAACCAAAAUAUGUCCUCAAGUGAGGUCUUAGUGAAUACAAAGUUGGCUGUGUAAGGAUGCAGAAACUGUCCCAUUUAUAUUGGGUUGGACAAAAAGUUCAUUUGUUUUUUUCCAUAAGAUGGCUUUACUAGUAGCACUUAGUUGUCUUUACCUUAAUUUGAAACAGUUUUGUCAGACUGUAUUAUGACAGCUGCCAUAUCAGCAUGCAUUUCAAAAAACUUAUAUCAAAAUUGGUGAAUUUUUGUGUACCCAUUUUAAUAUUGAAGAUGGGAGGAAAUGGGCAACAUUUUCAGCACAUUAUGCUUUAUUAUUUCAAGAAAGGUAAAAACGCAACUGAAAUGCAUAAAAAGAUUUGCAUAGUGUAUGGAGAAGGUGCUGUGACUGAUUAAAAAGUUAAUUAUCCAGAAGCAAACAGUUGGAGCCAGACAAUAGGAAGGAGCUGACAGAGGUGCUUUCACUCCUUCAAGUGCUCAUUACACGUCUCAGUGACUGCCCUGCAUUUACGGGGAUGCUAUCACCUGGUUCAAGUUAAUACAACUCCUACUUGUCAGACGUGGGGCUUUAAAGAUGCCUGCAAAAAAGUCUAAUGAACAAAAACGUGACUGUAUGGAAAAACAAGACUAUAAGCAAAUCUCUAAGAAAAAAAGACUCUCCAGAUUUGAAAUUAAGAUUACAUGAGAUAGAAUUUAUAUUCAUUCUUGUUAAUAAUGACCCUUGACCUGUGUGUAUGUCAUGCCUGAUGACAGAAUAAAGGCUGCAUAGCAUUAGGUCUACUUUGAAUUUUUUUUUUGAGGAACUGUUUUCCAUAGUUUUUCUAUAAUGUUUUCCAUAGUGGUGGAAACCUUUUAUAAUCCUACGAACUACAGAUUGCUUUUAGAGUUUCAGCAGUCAUGUAUAUAAUAAGAUUGUGUUAGGUACAAUAGAGAACAUCGACAGAAAUAAAGCCCAGACCAAUGUACUUCAGAUAUGUCGAUUAGGAGAGUUUAAAAUGUAACUGUUAAAAAACAUUGAUCAUACUUUCAUUAUUAUUAUUUUUGCAAUGGAAACAUGUAGCCCUGACUGGUGUGGCUCAGUGGGGUGGAUGUCAUUGCGAAAAGCAAAAGGUUGCCGGAUUGAUUCCCCUGUCAGGGCACACGCCUGGGUUGCAGGUUUGGACCUGGUCAGAGUGUGAGAGGCAAUCCAUGUUUCUCUCCUUCUCUUUCUC